GCCGGUGUAGCUCAGUGGUAGAGCGUUUCCUUGGUAAGGAAGAGGUCACGAGUUCAAUUCUCGUCAUCGGCU
rnacentral:tRNA from 1 species